rnacentral:rRNA from 1 species
UGGGGAAUUUUGGACAAUGGGCGCAAGCCUGAUCCAGCAAUGCCGCGUGCAGGAUGAAGGCCUUCGGGUUGUAAACUGCUUUUGUACGGAACGAAAAGCCUCUCUCUAAUACAGGGGGUGAUGACGGUACCGUAAGAAUAAGCACCGGCUAACUACGUGCCAGCAGCCGCGGUAAUACGUAGGGUGCAAGCGUUAAUCGGAAUUACUGGGCGUAAAGCGUGCGCAGGCGGUUUUGUAAGACAGUGGUGAAAUCCCCGGGCUCAACCUGGGAACUGCCAUUGUGACUGCAAGGCUGGAGUGCGGCAGAGGGGGAUGGAAUUCCGCGUGUAGCAGUGAAAUGCGUAGAUAUGCGGAGGAACACCGAUGGCGAAGGCAAUCCCCUGGGCCUGCACUGACGCUCAUGCACGAAAGCGUGGGGAGCAAACAGGAUUAGAUACCCUGGUAGUCCACGCCCUAAAACGAUGUCAACUGGUUGUUGGGGAUUUAUUUCUUCAGUAACGAAGCUAACGCGUGAAGUUGACCGCCUGGGGGAGUACGGCCGCAAGGUUAAAAACUC